AGAGUUUGAUCCUGGCUCAGGAUGAACGCUGGCGGCGUGCUUAACACAUGCAAGUCGAGCGAGAAGUUUUGAAAAGAUUCUUCGGAUGAAAUUUAAAAUGGAAAGCGGCGGACGGGUGAGUAACGCGUAGGCAACCUGCCCCAUACAAAGGGAUAGCAUUUGGAAACGAAUAUUAAUACCUUAUGAAACUUAACUAGUGCAUGCUAGGUAGGUCAAAGAUUUAUCGGUAUGGGAUGGGCCUGCGUCUGAUUAGCUAGUUGGUGAGGUAACGGCUCACCAAGGCGACGAUCAGUAGCCGACCUGAGAGGGUGAACGGCCACAUUGGAACUGAGACACGGUCCAAACUCCUACGGGAGGCAGCAGUGGGGAAUAUUGCACAAUGGGGGAAACCCUGAUGCAGCAACGCCGCGUGAACGAUGAAGGCCUUUGGGUCGUAAAGUUCUGUUCUAGGUGAUGAAAACUGACAGUAACCUAGGAGAAAGCCCCGGCUAACUCCGUGCCAGCAGCCGCGGU
rnacentral:rRNA from 1 species